AUUGAACGCUGGCGGCAGGCCUAACACAUGCAAGUCGAACGAGUGGCGGACGGGUGAGUAAUGUCUGGGAAACUGCCUGAUGGAGGGGGGUAACUACUGGAAACGGUAGCUAAUACCGCAUACCAUCAGAUGUGCCCAGAUGGGAUUAGCUAGUGGGGGGGGUAACGGCUCACCAAGGCGACGAUCCCUCGCUGGGCUGAGAGGAUGACCAGCCAAACUGGAACUGAGAAACGGUCCAGACUCCUACGGGAGGCAGCAGUGGGGAAUAUUGGAAAAUGGGCGAAAGCCUGAUCCAGCCAUGCCGCGUGUAGGAAGAAGGUCUUCGGAUUGUAAAGCACGUUAAGUUGGGAGGCGUUACCAACAGAAUAAGCACCGGCUAACGUCGUGCCAGCAGCCGCGGUAAUUC
rnacentral:rRNA from 1 species